UACGUAGGGUGCGAGCGUUGUCCGGAAUUAUUGGGCGUAAAGAGCUUGUAGGCGGUUUGUCGCGUCUGCUGUGAAAUCUCAAGGCUCAACCUUGAGCUUGCAGUGGGUACGGGCAGACUAGAGUGUGGUAGGGGAGACGUGGAAUUCCUGGUGUAGCGGUGAAAUGCGCAGAUAUCAGGAGGAACACCGAUGGCGAAGGCAGG
rnacentral:rRNA from 1 species